CGGGAUUAGAACCUAUGACCUCCUGACUCCCAGAUCCAUGCUCUCUCCACCACUCCAUACCACUUCUAAUGAUGUAGUUGGUGAGGUGAUCAGGCAUACACGAAUCACUGAGGAUGAAUACCGCUUCUGGAAAACGCUUAGGAGUUGGAGAAUAGAAGGCUCGAAGCCCAAACCACUCAGCUAGAACAUCAGAUAUUCAGACAACCUAAUCCAGGAACGGAGUACGGACUCACCCAGCGGGAAUGUUGAUUUGUUUCUCACAGAUUGGGUCUCAGCAUGCUGAAAAUUGGAGGUUUUAAGUCAAAAAGUAAUGACCAUCUCCAGAAGUGCAUUUCAGGCUGUCUUCUAACCACCUCAGGUAAAAAAAAAAAAAAAAAAAUCAGUGCAAAACAAACUGGAGUGAAGGGCAAUUUUGUAACAAUUGAUCUUACUGUGGGGGUUUUUGUCCAACAUGUUUUAUUUUUACACUGUGUA